GAUGAAGAACGUAGCGAAAUACGAUAAUUAAUGUGAAUUGCAGAAUUCCGUGAAUCAUCGAGUCUUUGAACGCACAUUGCGCCUCAUGGCAUUCCGUGAGGCAUGCCCAUCUCAGCGUUAGAAAAUAUUCUCAAAUUUUAGUUUUGUGCUAAAAUUUGGAUCAUGUCAAGGAAGCUAUUACUAUUAUUGUGAUCGCUCUUUGGAAAUUGAUAGGUCUUUGAGUUGCUACUCAUAGAACGUGAUGAAUCUUUCUUCGUUCUAUUGUAAUUCACUCUGGUAGUCCUAAAACUUGUAUGCCUGUGGCAUAUCUUGUAAUUUGACCUGAGAUUGGGUAGGGAUACCCGCUGAACUUAAGCAUAUCAAUAAGCGGAGGA
rnacentral:misc_RNA from 1 species